rnacentral:tRNA from 1 species
GGAGAGUUUUGGAGAUUUGUUCGGAAACGCCUUGAAAACCGGCGUAAUCUUAACAGGUUACCGUGGGUUCAAAUCCCACCCUCUCCGCCA